AGUGAACGCUGGCGGUAGGCCUAACACAUGCAAGUCGAACGGCAGCACAGUAAGAGCUUGCUCUUACGGGUGGCGAGUGGCGGACGGGUGAGGAAUACAUCGGAAUCUACUUUUUCGUGGGGGUUAACGUAGGGAAACUUACGCUAAUACCGCAUACGACCUACGGGUGAAAGCAGGGGAGCUUCGGACCUUGCGCGAUUGAAUGAGCCGAUGUCGGAUUAGCUAGUUGGCGGGGUAAAGGCCCACCAAGGCGACGAUCCGUAGCUGGUCUGAGAGGAUGAUCAGCCACACUGGAACUGAGCCACGGUCCAGACUCCUACGGGAGGCAGCAGUGGGGAAUAUUGGACAAUGGGCGCAAGCCUGAUCCAGCCAUACCGCGUGGGUGAAGAAGGCCUUCGGAUUGUAAAGCCCUUUUGUUGGGAAAGAAAAGCAGCAGGUUAAUACCCCGCUGUUCUGACGGUACCCAAAGAAUAAGCACCGGCUAACUUCGUG
rnacentral:rRNA from 1 species